rfam:Synergistales bacterium 53_16 MPI_scaffold_4089, whole genome shotgun sequence.
GGACGUACACGAGCGCCUGGACUGGGGGAAACAUCCCAGUUGACGAGGUCCGGGAUUAUCGAUUUUUCGGCGGAUGUCCCGGGGGCUGCGGGAAUCAGCCCAAAGGAAAGCCGUUUCUCAAAAUCGGGGAGCGAUCCCCGGCACAAAAGAGCGGCAAUUUCCCCG